AUGGCGAGGCCGGACGAGAGCUGGGCGCGGAACACCUCCCCGGGGGACGACGCGUCCACGAGCCACGCGCCCCACCCGGAGGGCGCCUCGCCGGACUUGCUGCGGAACACGCCGUCCAACAUCGCUAGGCUCGAGGACGCGAUCGAGAACUGCGCCGCCCGCCGCAAGUACCUCGCUCGCACCAAGAGCCCCUCCGACGGCGAGGACGUCCGCUGGUACUUCUGCAAGCUCCCCCUCGGAGACAGAGUGCUCUCUUCUUCAGUUCCGCGGACGGAGAUAGUUGGGAAAGGAGACUAUUUCAGGUUCAGCAUGAGGGACUGUUUGGCGUUGGAGGCGUCUUUCUUAGAGAGAGAGGAAUCACUACUUGGGUACUGGUGGAGGGAGUAUGCGGAAUGCAGUGAAGGGCCAACAGGUUCCUUGGUUAAAGCUGAUAUGUCAGACUCUGAAUAUUUGUAUAAGGUGGAGGAGGAGCGGGUUGGGGUUCCUGUGAAAGGUGGACUAUAUGAGGUUGAUUUGAUGAGACGUCAUUGCUUCCCUGUAUAUUGGAAUGGUGAGAAUAGACGUGUUUUGAGGGGCCACUGGUUUGCUCGAAAAGGAGGUCUUGAUUGGAUUCCCUUGCGUGAAGAUGUUUCUGAACAACUUGAGUUAGCAUAUAAGUACCAGGUCUGGCAUCGUCGUAAAUUUCAACCUUCAGGCCUGUUUGCUGCGCGGGUCGAUCUCCAAGGAAGUACACCGGGAUUGCAUGCUCUUUUUACAGGAGAGGAUGAUACUUGGGAAGCUUGGCUUGUCUUUGAUACAGGUCCUAAACUAGGCAGCAACACAAUCAAAUUAAGGCGUGGUUUCUCUUCUUCUGGAUCUGCAAAUCCUACCCAGGAUGAGUUGCGUCAACAGAAAGAAGAGGAAACAGAUGAUUACUGCUCUCAGGUUCCAGUUGGUCAUUUGGUAUUCAUGGUUCAUGGUAUCGGACAGAGAUUGGAGAAAGCUAAUCUUGUUGAUGAUGUAGUCGAUUUCCGCCGUGUGACCGCUAACCUAGCAGAUAGAUACUUAACUCCUUAUCAAAGAAGUACACAGAGGGUCCUAUUUAUUCCCUGUCAGUGGAGGAAGAGUUUGAAGCUCGGUGGUGAAAACACAGUCGAGAAGAUCACUUUGGAUGGAGUUAAAGGUCUUCGUGUAGCGUUAGGCGCCACCGUUCAUGAUGUUCUAUAUUACAUGAGUCCUAUCUACUGCCAGCAUAUAAUUGACUCGGUCUCGGGUCAGUUGAACCAACUGUAUAUGAAGUUUCUGAAGAGAAAUCCUGGUUACAGUGGAAAGGUAUCAUUAUAUGGCCAUUCGUUGGGAAGUGUUCUAACGUAUGAUAUACUUUGCCACCAAGAAUCCCUUUCCGCCCCAUUUCCAACAGAUUAUUUUAAGAUGGAAGUUUCGUCUGAUGAAGGCCAAGUAGGAAAAGGACCCAACACAAUUGAUCAUGACUCUGGUGUAAAAGAGCAUGAUACUUCUUCCACUUCAGGGCAUUCAUGUGUAGAUAAUGUAAAUCGUGUGGAUGAAGAGAGCACCAGAACUGAUCAUUCACUUACAGACAAGACUGUUCUGCCAUGUGUGCUUGAAAAUGUGCCAAACAAUGAUGAUGCACUUGAAUCACCUAUUCCAGUUGAUGGGGUGCAAACUGAAGUCGAAAAUCAGGUUGAGAAUCAUCAAAUGACAUAUACUGAAGGAGUUACUCCAGCUGUAAGCACAAAAGAUGCUGAUGAGUGCAUUUCAAGAUCCGCCAAGGAACUCCAUGAGGUCCCUGACAAAGACAGAUUAAUCUCAUCACUAGAAGAAGAGGUGAGCCAUCUUAAAGCUAAACUAGCGGAACUUGAGCGACAGAGUGAUUCAGUGAUUCAAAGCAUCAGUAGUGUUCAGUCUCAUCAAGAUAAAGAUGCUAAUGAUACAGUGAGCCUAGUAUCAGACAAACUUAACAUAGGGCAAGGUAGCACAAGUCAGUCCUACAGACCACGUAUUAGAUACACUAAACUAAAUUUUAAGGUUGACACAUUCUUUGCUGUUGGAUCCCCUUUGGGAGUCUUCCUGUCGCUGCGGAAUGUUCGUAUUGGUGUUGGCAGGGGACAAGAUUAUUGGCAAGACAAGAACGUUGUUGAAGAGAUGCCAUGCUGCAGGCAGAUGUUCAAUGUUUUUCAUCCUUUCGAUCCUGUAGCAUACAGAGUUGAACCACUUGUAUGUGAAGAUUAUGUGAACAAGCGCCCUGUUGUUAUACCCUACCAUAGAGGCGGAAAGAGGAUACAUGUUGGAGUGCAGGAGUUCACAGAAGACGUUGCUGCACGUUCUCAGGCUAUUGCCCGUCAAUUCAAGUCAUUGAAGGUCAAAGCGGUAGCUGCCUUGUUAUCACUGAGCAAAAAUGACACGGAAGAGGACGAUGAGAGCACCAAGGAGGAGGAGAGAUCAUAUGGUUCCAUGAUGAUGGAAAGGCUGACUGGUUCACCGGAUGGUCGAGUUGAUCAUGUGCUUCAGGAGAAAACAUUUCAACAUCCAUAUUUAUCCGCUCUGGGAUCUCAUACCAACUACUGGCGGGAUCAUGAUACUGCUCUCUUCAUUAUCAAACAUUUGUACCGUGAUAUACCUGAAGAACCUCCAACUGAUGGAACUGGAAGUGCACCCAUUAGACUGUUCUAUGUGAGGGAUCCAAUUGCUGAAGACACUCCCCUGACAUUUUCAGACCACUCCUCAGUUAAGGAAUUCUCCAGGAAGGUGAAAACUUAUUCGAGAAAGGGGGAGGAUGAUGCAAACUGUGAAGCCUCUUGA
rnacentral:rRNA from 1 species